rnacentral:rRNA from 1 species
AAAAGAGUAUAAAAUUCAGGUAGUAUUGGAUGUCUUAAAACUUAAAAAUUUUGGCGGUGUUUUAAUCUUAUCAGAGGAAUCUGUUUUAUAAUCGAUAGUACACGAUGUAUCUUACUUAAAUUAAGGUUUGUAUAUCGUUGUGAUAAUGAUGUUUUAUAACUAUUAUUAAAGGUAAUUUUAUUUUUAAUGUCAGAUCAAGGUUCAGCUUAUAUUUAAGAAAAGAAUGGAUUACAAUAUAAGGAUAUAUUUACGGAUUUUAUCUUUAAAAGAUAAAUAAAGGUGGAUUUGAAAGUAUUUUUAUAAUAAAAUGUUAAAUUGAACUAGCUCUAAAAUAUGC